AAGGUACUCCCUCCGUUUGGAAUUACUUGUCUCGGAAAUGGAUGUAUCUAGAACUAAAAUACAUCUAAAUACAUCCAUUUCUGCGACAAGUAAUUCCGAACGGAGGGAGUAUAAG
rnacentral:pre_miRNA from 1 species